CAAAAAGCAGGUAAAAGGGGUUCUCGAGGGACAAACUUAGAUUCAGAUAUAAGUAGCAGUAGCAUCAUAGCUACUUUUCCACAAAACCAGCUUUGAAGUACAUCUCAUACAUGCUUAGCAGAGGGCAUCAUACAAAGUUUUGUUAGCAUCAAUUUAAAACAUCAACAAUGUCCAGGAAGGGACUCUAAAAGUGAAAACCAGAUGAUCCUCAAUUAUUCUUUGGGCUAAAACGCAUGGUUUUUUUAGGAUGAUCCUCUUUCUACUAUCAACAGAGAUCUGGUCACUGUGUUGUAUUGGUCCUUUAUUGCUGAUUCACUUUCAUUUUGGUUCUAAUGUUUAUUUUAUUCUGUUUCUGUCUUUCUGGAGAUUAGUGUUUCUUCUUCUAAGUUGUAUCUCCUCAUUCUUUAUUUAAUAUACUUCUUUUCCUAUUAAAAAAAAUGCAAAAAGCAUGUGAAACAAUUAAGGAGAAAAUUAUAUGAUUCAAAUGUAGCUAGCCUUUAUUCUUUAAAAAAUGUAGCUAGCCCUACAACAUAUUGUUAUACGUAAGCUCAAUCAAGGGCAGCGCUAAUCUCAUUGAUCGCCAGAACUUACACACACAUACGGAGCAUUUGCUCUUAAGGUUUUUAUGAUCGUCUUUCAUUGUCCAUGUGUCUAGGAUGGUAGGCUGUAUGAAAGUCAAGUGUAAUGGCAGGAGCUUCUUGUAGUUUUUGCCAGAACUCUUGAUGUAAGCCACAAUCCCCUGUUCGAUAGGAUACAGAUUUGGACUCCAUGGAGAAAAACUACUUUGUUGCACAUAAAAUGGCAUGCUACAGUAUCCAGUCUGUUGCUUUGUUUGAAGGAAUUGUGCCAAUUGUAGUUAACCUAUACAUAUAGUACUAAAUAGUCAUAGCCUUAUGAAGUUUGAGAUUACCUAGCCCAAAAAGCCAUGAUGAUCCUCUCUUAUUUCUACUUAAACGGGGAAGUGGUAGCAAAAGGCUUGAUGAGUUCUAGCGUUUUCAAGUUUGACCAGUCAACAGACCAAGCACUGGGGCAGAUACCUUGUCGUGUCUCUCCAGUGUAAUUCUGCAGUAGACUCUCUUCAGAUUAUGAUACAACUUUGUUGAUUCUGAGUGGAUAAUCUAAGUUGCUAAAUGUGCCUCUUCCACCAUCUUUUUCUUUAGCUCAUCAGUAAUGGCACACAACCUGGUGUUAUAGCAAAGUGCACCAUCUAUCUAAGUUAUGAAGUCUUGGGCUUACACUUUCUUCUUCUGUCUUCUAUGUAGGCCUUUUUAGCUUCUCUACAAAAGGAG
rnacentral:lncRNA from 1 species